UACGUAGGCAGCAAGCGUUGUUCGGAGUUACUGGGCGUAAAGGGUGCGUAGGCGGCUUUUUAAGUUUGGUGUGAAAUCUCCCGGCUCAACUGGGAGGGUGCGCCGAAUACUGAGAGGCUAGAGUGUGGGAGAGGAAAGUGGAAUUCCUGGUGUAGCGGUGAAAUGCGCAGAUAUCAGGAAGAACACCCGUGGCUAAGGCGGCUCUCUAGUACGGUACUGACGCUGAGACGCGAAAGCGUGGGGAGCGAACAGG
rnacentral:rRNA from 1 species